UAGGGCAGAGAGCAUGCUCUCUGCCAGGGUGGCCCUGCCUGUAAGUACGUGUGUGUUAUUUACACACAUCUCACAGAGUGUUUUGAGACUAAUUGUAUAGAUUUCUGUAGCCUAGGAAAGCAAGGCAUAAUUUGCUUAGAGGGAGGCUCUACAAUUCCGCCUCAGGAGAAAUCACUCCAAACUCCAACUUUAGGGGCUGGGGAUUCCGAGGGACCGUGGCUUGAUGUCCGUUAGGAGUUAACAGAGACCAGCAACUCAUUUCACAGGUCAUGUUCCAGCCAUCAAAGUGUAAUUACCGUCAAACCCCACUGGCGCAAGUCCCGACUGUAUUUUCCGGUGGAUGCGUGAAUUUAAGUUCUAUAGGAUCCUAAGGGACCUUCAGCCUUCCAGAGAUCAAAAGACAUUCCAUAGCACUAGGGAAAUGGUCCACGUGCAUCAACUUCAGACAGAAAUUGCCGUUGUUGUCAUUACUGUUUUUAAUGAAACUAGCACUUGCAGCGUUGAUGAUUGGGAAACAUGACUGGGCUUGGAAGACCGUCAAUCUAUUGGAAGCAGUAGAUGCAUCCGAAGAACUCUGCCCUUCCAGCCGAGGCUCCUCCAGUUGCUAUAGCAACGCAGGAACUAGCUUUCUUAGGGGCUUGAGCAGCCCGGUGCUCUGCAGGCCAAACGUUCCCAUGAGACUUUGGCACUGGGUUACACCUGAGACCGGGCAUUCGUGAAACACAGAUUUCUUACCUAUAAAUUGUUUGCCUGGUGGAAAAAAUAUGACUCUGGGCUCCCUGAGUUAGUGACGGGCAUGUAAGUAAGGACUGAAAGGCCUUCCCUUCUCUCCUUCCCUUCUGUCAUUUCAGGCUUGUCUCUGUUUCCUUGUCUCUUCAGUGGCCGAGGGCUUAGAUGGCUGGUGUUACAGUUGUUGCCCCACUGCCCCCAACCCCACUCAUCACUUGCUGAAAUGGGAACGUGAAUAACCAAAGCUGUAAGAUCUCCAGGACACAGAGCAGCAACAAGACAUCCAAGAGGAGUCCUGGGAGAACCCAGUAUUGAUAGAGCAGCAGAGGCCUCUGACCCAGACCAAUGACUCACUGAAGUGAACAUUUGCAAGUUAACACUGCUGGGCAAAAGGCUUCCUUGGAUUCAAAUGCUUGCUGUACCCAGCAUGUCCCUGGUCUCAGUGAGUAACUGCUGACUGCGUCUCUGGCCUGUAAUUGCCUAAGCGUGCACCAUAGUGGAAAUGAUGAUCAUGGAGACUUGAGGCCAAACUCCAGCUCCAGCGUAUUAGCAAGUCAAACAAUGAUAUGAACUCGGAUUCUCUAGGACUUCAGCAAAGCAAAGGGAGAAAUGAAAAGAGGAAACUGUCUAUUCAAGCUUGAGAGCACAGCACAGGGGAAGAAACAAUUCCCUUCCCAUGGGUCACCCACCAGAGUUCAGCUUCAGCCUCAACACGAUGGCAGGUGAGUGACGCUAGCAAGUCCAGGUCUUGAUUGCUCCCAACGGUGCUUCCAAGGGAGGGAAGAGGAGAACGUGGGAAUGCUGUCACCUAUAUCGUUAGGUGGCAAUUCUCUGCAGACAUGUCACCUGUAUCGUUAGGUGGCAAUUCUCUCUGCAGACAUGCAGAGAAUUGGGGAAGGUUAUGAAUGGGAAGAAGGCAUGUAGUUGAGUUUCGGUCACCUCCAAGGUCCUAUACUGAAGCCCUAAGGUUGCCUCGUUUCUAUGUUUGGAAGCUGGGACUUUAAAGAGUUAAUUAAGUUAAAUGAGGUCAUUAGGGUGACUCCUAAUCCAAGUUGACUAUUAUCUUUAUGAAAAGAAGAGACUUUGAUGCGUGUAUGAAUAGAGGGGAGACUGUAAAACAUCGGGCAAGAGGCAAGCAGGUACCAGCUGCCCUCAGAAGGAAUCAGCCCAGCCUGUAACACGUGGUUAGUCAGACCAUGAGAGUCAUCAGACUGCACAUGGGGUGAAGGGCAGUUGGAGUAGGAACACGACCAUUGGCAGGUUUCUAGGUGGUCAGGACAGACCCUGGGCAGGACCUUAAGAGAAGGCAAACACAUGGGAAGAGUGUAGCCAGGUGCUUUGUUUGGGGAGGGACCAACAACAGCGGUAAACAGCACAGAGGCCAACACCCACCACUGCUUUAAAUGCAUCAUUUUAUACACACGAACACUGUGCGUUUGUAUGGAUGGAACCCAGUCUCUUCACUCAACCUUCAGCCACAGCUAAAAUUUCCUGCUGUCUCCCCAGUCCACAUUAUGCUUAUUUAUGGCUUAUUUUGUCCUGGUUCCUCCUCCUUCCCUUCUCAUCUACCCCCGACACCCCCACAUCCCGCCCCUUCCCUCCACCAUCGCCUGCACGACGGAAUUUAAUGCAAGUUGCUAUACUUUUCCAGGCUUUAAACUUCCCCAAGCUUGAAGUGGAGGUGGUGAUGACGCCCGCCCAUAGAGCAAGGUCAUUGGUGCUUUCAAUGCCGCAGGCCAGGCUCUGUAAGAAUUUGGGGGGAAGAAACUUUAGCCCAGAGGGGUUAGUAGAAUCACGAAAGCAGCACAGGAGCGGGGACCUGCGCUUCUAGCCCUCCCGCGCUCUUCUAAUUCUAUUCUGUGUUUUGUAGAAGAUUCCGUGCCGCUGCUCGGUGCAGAUCUGCUCUCCACAGCCUGCCCAAUCUUUUUAAAAAUAAAGCGAGUUGCGAUCCUCCCACCGUGGCGUUCUAUUUUCUUCCUGCUCAAACCCAACACUUCAGACGUUUCCUACUCGCUCCAAUGCAGAAUCAAGCCUCAUCCUGACCCACAGCCCCUCCUCGGCAGGUUCUUCCUAUCACACCAUACUGCACUCGACUCUUUACCGUCCCUCCGCAGAACCUUUGA